UACCAGCACCCCGAGUGGUCGGGACGUUUAUUGGGCCUAAAGCAUCCGUAGCCGGUUCUACAAGUCUUCCGUUAAAUCCAACUGCUUAACAGGUGGGCUGCGGAAGAUACUAUAGAGCUAGGAGGCGGGGAGAGGCAAGCGGUACUCGAUGGGUAGGGGUAAAAUCCGUUGAUCCAUUGAAGACCACCAGUGGCGAAGGCGGCUUGCCAGAACGCGCUCGACGGUGAGGGAUGAAAGCUGGGGGAGCAAACCGGAUUAGAAACC
rnacentral:rRNA from 1 species